rnacentral:rRNA from 1 species
GAUGAACGCUGGCGGCGUGCCUAAUACAUGCAAGUCGAGCGAACAGACGAGGAGCUUGCUCCUCUGACGUUAGCGGCGGACGGGUGAGUAACACGUGGAUAACCUACUUAUAAGACUGGGAUAACUUCGGGAAACCGGAGCUAAUACCGGAUAAUAUAUUGAACCGCAUGGUUCAAUAGUGAAAGACGGUUUUGCUGUCACUUAUAGAUGGUUCCGCGCCGCAUUAGCUAGUUGGUAAGGUAACGGCUUACCAAGGCGACGAUGCGUAGCCGACCUGAGAGGGUGAUCGGCCACACUGGAACUGAGACACGGUCCAGACUCCUACGGGAGGCAGCAGUAGGGAAUCUUCCGCAAUGGGCGAAAGCCUGACGGAGCAACGCCGCGUGAGUGAUGAAGGUCUUCGGAUCGUAAAGCUCUGUUAUUAGGGAAGAACAACUGUGUAAGUAACUAUGCACGUCUUGACGGUACCUAAUCAGAAAGCAACGGCUAACUACGUG